ensembl:misc_RNA Metazoa_SRP Metazoan signal recognition particle RNA
GCUGGGCAUGGUGGUGCAUGCCUGUAAUCCCAGCAACUCAGGAGGCUGAGACAGGAGAAUCACUUGAACCUGGGAGGCAGAGGCUGCAGUGAGCCAAGAUUGCACCACUGCACUCCAGCCUGGGUGACAGAGUAAGACCCUGUCUCCA